rnacentral:rRNA from 1 species
GACGAACGCUGGCGGCGUGCUUAACACAUGCAAGUCGAACGGUAAGGCCCUUCGGGGUACACGAGUGGCGAACGGGUGAGUAACACGUGGGUGAUCUGCCCUGCACUUCGGGAUAAGCCUGGGAAACUGGGUCUAAUACCGGAUAGGACCCUGGGAUGCAUGUCCUGGGGUGGAAAGCUUUUGCGGUGUGGGAUGGGCCCGCGGCCUAUCAGCUUGUUGGUGGGGUGAUGGCCUACCAAGGCGACGACGGGUAGCCGGCCUGAGAGGGUGACCGGCCACACUGGGACUGAGAUACGGCCCAGACUCCUACGGGAGGCAGCAGUGGGGAAUAUUGCACAAUGGGCGCAAGCCUGAUGCAGCGACGCCGCGUGAGGGAUGACGGCUUUCGGGUUGUAGACCUCUUUCAGCACCGACGAAGCGCAAGUGACGGUAGGUGCAGAAGAAGGACCGGCCAACUACGUGCCAGCCGCCGCAGUAA